ACAGCCCCGUACACAAAAGCGCAUGUGCUGUGAGCUCGAUGAGUAGGGCGGGACACGUGGUAUCCUGUCUGAAUAUGGGGGGACCAUCCUCCAAGGCUAAAUACUCCUGACUGACCGAUAGUGAACCAGUACCGUGAGGGAAAGGCGAAAAGAACCCCGGCGAGGGGAGUGAAAAAGAACCUGAAACCGUGUACGUACAAGCAGUGGGAGCACCCUUUGGGGUGUGACUGCGUACCUUUUGUAUAAUGGGUCAGCGACUUAUAUUCUGUAGCAAGGUUAACCGAAUAGGGGAGCCGGAGGGAAACCGAGUCUUAAUUGGGCGUUAAGUUGCAGGGUAUAGACCCGAAACCCGGUGAUCUAGCCAUGGGCAGGUUGAAGGUUGGGUAACACUAACUGGAGGACCGAACCGACUAAUGUUGAAAAAUUAGCGGAUGACCUGUGGCUGGGGGUGAAAGGCCAAUCAAACCGGGAGAUAGCUGGUUCUCCCCGAAAGCUAUUUAGGUAGCGCCUCGUGAAUUUAUCUCCGGGGGUAGAGCACUGUUUCGGCUAGGGGGCCAUCCCGGCUUACCAACCCGAUGCAAACUGCGAAUACCGGAGAAUGUUAUCACGGGAGACACACGGCGGGUGCUAACGUCCGUCGUGAAGAGGGAAACAACCCAGACCGCCAGCUAAGGUCCCAAAGUCAUGGUUAAGUGGGAAACGAUGUGGGAAGGCCCAGACAGCCAGGAUGUUGGCUUAGAAGCAGCCAUCAUUUAAAGAAAGCGUAAUAGCUCACUGGUCGAGUCGGCCUGCGCGGAAGAUGUAACGGGGCUAAACCAUGCACCGAAGCUGCGGCAGCGACGCUGAUGCGUUGUUGGGUAGGGGAGCGUUCUGUAAGCCUGCGAAGGUGGCCUGUGAGGGUUGCUGGAGGUAUCAGAAGUGCGAAUGCUGACAUAAGUAACGAUAAAGCGGGUGAAAAGCCCGCUCGCCGGAAGACCAAGGGUUCCUGUCCAACGUUAAUCGGGGCAGGGUGAGUCGACCCCUAAGGCGAGGCCGAAAGGCGUAGUCGAUGGGAAACGGGUUAAUAUUCCCGUACUUGGUGUUACUGCGAAGGGGGGACGGAGAAGGCUAUGUUGGCCGGGCGACGGUU
rnacentral:rRNA from 1 species